rnacentral:rRNA from 1 species
CCUACGGGAGGCAGCAGUGAGGAAUUUUCCGCAAUGGGCGAAAGCCUGACGGAGCAAUACCGCGUGAGGGAUGAAGGAUUUUGGUCUGUAAACCUCUUUUCUCAAGAAAGAAGUUCUGACGGUACUUGAGGAAUAAGCAUCGGCUAACUCCGUGCCAGCAGCCGCGGUAAUACGGGGGAUGCAAGCGUUAUCCGGAAUGAUUGGGCGUAAAGCGCCUGUAGGUUGUUUAUUAAGUCCGUUGUUAAAGCCUAGGGCUUAACCCUAGAAAAGCAAUGGAAACUAGUAGACUAGAGUAUGGCAGGGGUAGAGGGAAUUUCUAGUGUAGCGGUGAAAUGCGUAGAUAUUAGAAAGAACACCGGUGGCGAAAGCGCUCUACUGGACCAUUACUGACACUCAGAGGCGAAAGCUAGGGUAGCAAAAGGGAUUAGAUACCCCUGUAGUCCUAGCCGUAAACGAUGGAUACUAGAUGUUGUGCAUUAUGUACAGUAUCGUAGCUAACGCGUUAAGUAUCCCGCCUGGGGAGUACGCUCGCAAGGGUGAAAACUCAAAGGAAUUGACGG